rnacentral:rRNA from 1 species
CCAACAGGGAUUGCCUCAGUAACGGCGAGUGAAGCGGCAACAGCUCAAAUUUGAAAUCUGGCUCCCCUGGGGGCCCGAGUUGUAAUUUGUAGAGGAUGCUUCGGCGUGGGCCCCGGUCUAAGUUCCUUGGAACAGGACGUCACAGAGGGUGAGAAUCCCGUACGUGGCCGUGGGUGCUCGCCAUGUGAAGCUCCUUCGACGAGUCGAGUUGUUUGGGAAUGCAGCUCUAAAUGGGAGGUAAAUUUCUUCUAAAGCUAAAUACUGGCCAGAGACCGAUAGCGCACAAGUAGAGUGAUCGAAAGAUGAAAAGCACUUUGGAAAGAGAGUCAAAAAGUACGUGAAAUUGUUGAAAGGGAAGCGCUUGCAACCAGACCUGCCUGCGGUUGCUCAUCCGGGCUCCUGCCCGGUGCACUCUUCCGCAGUCAGGCCAGCAUCAGCUCUGGCGGUCGGAUAAAGGCGGCGGGAAUGUGGCUCCCCUCGGGGAGUGUUAUAGCCCGCCGUGCAAUGCGGCCAGCCGGGACUGAGGUCCGCGCUUCGGCUAGGAUGCUGGCGUAAUGGUUGUAAGCGGCCCGUCUUGAAACACGGACCAAGGAGUCUAACAUCUGUGCGAGUGUUUGGGUGUCAAGCCCAGGCGCGUAAUGAAAGUGAACGGAGGCGGGAACCUUCGGGUGCACCGUCGACCGAUCCUGAUGUCUUCGGAUGGAUUUGAGUAAGAGCAUAGCUGUUGGGACCCGAAAGAUGGUGAACUAUGCCUGAAUAGGGUGAAGCCAGAGGAAACUCUGGUGGAGGCUCGCAGCGGUUCUGACGUGCAAAUCGAUCGUCAAAUUUGGGCAUAGGGGCGAAAGACUAAUCGAACU